GUCCUCCAAGCUCAUGUGGAAGAGCGCUCGGUUGAAGCCCGAGAGGUUGCCGGUUCGAACCCGGCGGUGGACA
rnacentral:tRNA from 1 species